rnacentral:rRNA from 1 species
AGGGAAUGGAGGCAUCCUUACGGGAGGCAGCAGUAAACUCAAAGGAAUUGACGGAUCCUACGGGAGGCAGCAGUAAACUCAAAGGAAUUGACGGAUCCUACGGGAGGGAGCAAUAAACUCCAAGGAAUUGCCGGCCCCCACCGGCGGUAAUACGUAAGGUGCGAGCGUUAUCCGGAAUUAUUGGGCGUAAAGAGCUCGUAGGCGGGUUGUCGCGUCUGUCGUGAAAGUCCGGGGCUUAACCCCGGAUCUGCGGUGGGUACCGGCAGACUACAGUGCAGUAGGGGAGACUGCGAAUUCCUGGUGUAGCGGUGGAAUGCGCACAUAUCAGGAGGAACACCGAUGGCGAAUGCCGGUCUCUGGGCUGUCACUGACGCUGAGGAGCGAAAGCAUGGGGAGCGAACACGAUUAGAUACCCUGGUAGUCCAUGCCGUAAACGUUGGGCACUAGGUGUGGGGACCAUUCCACGGUUUCCGCGCCGCAGCUAACGCAUUAAGUGCCCCGCCUGGGGAGUACGGCCGCAAGGCUAAAACUCAAAGGAAUUGACGGAUUCGGCCGAAUCAAGACUGAGUGUAUACUCUCUUCCUGAAGGGCUUUAAUUUCCUGCGAUCCUUAGUAGUCCAAAUAUCCGGUGUGGCCCCUUGAUACUCCCCCAGAUGCUCUGAUAUGAACCUCUUUUGGAACACCACAACUGUGUGCUCUCCCAGCAACAUACUUAUAAGGUAUUCUUAAUUAAGUCUAUUAUAUGCAUCUUAUUUGCCGUAGAGCUGUUACAAUAUAUCGGACACACAUUCAAGGUCUGAGGUCUAGUUGUAAGUUGGUACAUACAUCUUAUAGACUAGUAAUAUGCAUAUGUGAAGAGAGUCCCAGAUUGCAGUACUCUUAUAUCGACAUCGCGAGAUGGAUAAUAUCAUAUAGUG